AUACGGAGGGUGCAAGCGUUACUCGGAAUCACUGGGCGUAAAGGAUGCGUAGGCGGAUAAUCAAGUCAAAAGUGAAAUCCUACAGCUUAACUGUAGAACUGCUUUCGAAACUGGUUAUCUAGAAUAUGGAAGAGGCAGAUGGAAUUAGUGGUGUAGGGGUAAAAUCCGUAGAGAUCACUAGGAAUACCGAUUGCGAAGGCGAUCUGCUGGGACAUUAUUGACGCUGAGGCAUGAAAGCGUGGGGAGCAAACAGGAUUAGAAACCCUUGUAGUCC
rnacentral:rRNA from 1 species